rnacentral:rRNA from 1 species
GACGAACCGUGCGAACGUUAUUCGGAAUCACUGGGCUUAAAGCGCGUGUAGGCGGGCCGCCACGUCGGGCGCUGAAAUCCCCCGGCUCAACCGGGGAACGGGCACCGAUACGAGCGGCCUGGAGGGGAGUAGGGGGACCUGGAACUUCCGGUGGAGCGGUGAAAUGCGCAGAUAUCGGGAGGAACACCAAUGGCGAAGGCAGCUCGCUGGGACGGUACUGACGCUGAGGCGCGAAAGCGUGGGGAGCAAACAGG